rnacentral:rRNA from 1 species
AGCGAACGCUGGCGGCAGGCUUAACACAUGCAAGUCGAGCGGGCAUCUUCGGAUGUCAGCGGCAGACGGGUGAGUAACACGUGGGAACGUACCCUUCGGUUCGGAACAGCUCUGGGAAACUGGAGCUAAUACCGGAUACGCCCUUAUGGGGAAAGGUUUACUGCCGAAGGAUCGGCCCGCGUCUGAUUAGCUAGUUGGUUGGGUAACGGCCUACCAAGGCGACGAUCAGUAGCUGGUCUGAGAGGAUGAUCAGCCACACUGGGACUGAGACACGGCCCAGACUCCUACGGGAGGCAGCAGUGGGGAAUAUUGGACAAGGGGCGCAAGCCUGAUCCAGCCAUGCCGCGUGAGUGAUGAAGGCCUUAGGGUUGUAAAGCUCUUUUGUCCGGGACGAUAAUGACGGUACCGGAAGAAUAAGCCCCGGCUAACUUCGUG